rnacentral:rRNA from 1 species
AACGAACGCUGGCGGCAUGCCUAACACAUGCAAGUCGAACGAGACCUUCGGGCCUAGUGGCGCACGUCGGCGUACCGCGUGGUAACCUGCCCUUAGGUUCGGAAUAACUCCCCGAAAGGGGUCCUAAUACCGGAUAAUGUCUUCGGACCAAAGAGCUAUGGCUUUUGGAUGGGCCCUCGUUGGAUUCGCUGGUUGGUAGGGUAAAAGCCUACCAAGGCGACGAUGCAUAGCUGGUCUGGGAGCAGGACAAGCCACAAUGGCACUGCGACACGGACGAGACUCGUACGGGAGGCAGGAGUGGAGAAUAUUGGGGGAUGGGGGCAAGUCUGAUCAAGCAACGUGGCGUGAGUGAUGCAGGGGUUAGGGUUGUGAAGCUGUUUUUGCCGGGAUGAUAAUGACAGUACCGGGUGAAUAAGCACCGGCUAACUACGUG